AUGAGUCCAGGGAAACGUUACCAAAUCAUGUGGCUGAUGGGAUGGUUGCCAUUGUUUCCAGGUGUCCUGUCCCAGAUGCAGCUGCAGGAGUCAGGUCCUGCCCUGGUGAAGACCUUGAAGACCCGGUCCCUCACCUGCUCAGUCUCUGGAUUCCCCUUCACAACCAGUAGUUAUGCUUGGUGCUGGAUCUGUCAGCCUCCAGGAAAGACCCUGGAGGUGAUGGGAGCUAUAGCCUACAAUGGUGGCACUGGCUACAACCCGUUCAUUGAGAGCCGUAUCUCCAUCUCCGGAGACCCCAGCAAGAACCAGUUCUCUCUCCAGCUGAACUGUCACCAAGGAAGACACAGCCACGUAUUACUGUGCAACAGACACAGAGAUUUGAUGCAAGUGUGA